UACGGGAGGCAGCAGUGAGGAAUAUUGGUCAAUGGACGAGAGUCUGAACCAGCCAAGUAGCGUGAAGGAUGAAGGUCUUACGGAUUGUAAACUUCUUUUAUAAGGGAGUAAAACCUCCCACGUGUGGGAGCUUGUAUGUACCUUAUGAAUAAGCAUCGGCUAACUCCGUGCCAGCAGCCGCGGUAAUACGGAGGAUGCGAGCGUUAUCCGGAUUUAUUGGGUUUAAAGGGAGCGCAGACGGGUCGUUAAGUCAGCUGUGAAAGUUUGGGGCUCAACCUUAAAAUUGCAGUUGAUACUGGCGUCCUUGAGUGCGGUUGAGGUGUGCGGAAUUCGUGGUGUAGCGGUGAAAUGCUUAGAUAUCACGAAGAACUCCGAUUGCGAAGGCAGCACACUAAGCCGUAACUGACGUUCAUGCUCGAAAGUGUGGGUAUCAAACAGGAUUAGAUACCCUGGUAGUCCACACGGUAAACGAUGGAUACUCGCUGUUGGCGAUAUACGGUCAGCGGCUUAGCGAAAGCGUUAAGUAUCCCACCUGGGGAGUACGCC
rnacentral:rRNA from 1 species